AGCAGUCGCCGCGGGAAUACGUAGGUGGCAAGCGUUGUCCGGAAUUAUUGGGCGUAAAGGGCUCGCAGGCGGUUUCUUAAGUCUGAUGUGAAAGCCCCCGGCUCAACCGGGGAGGGUCAUUGGAAACUGGGAAACUUGAGUGCAGAGGAGGAGAGUGGAAUUCCACGUGUAGCCGUGAAAUGCGUAGAGAUGUGGAGGAACACCAGUGGCGAAGGCGACUCUCUGGUCUGUAACUGACGCUGAGGAGCGAAAGCGUGGGGAGCGAACAGGAUUAGAUACCCCCGUAGUCCCUGUCUCUUAUAC
rnacentral:rRNA from 1 species